GUAGUUAGCCGGGACUUGCUCCUAAGGUACCGUCAUUAUCUUCCCUUAGAACAGAAGUUUACGACCCAAAGGCCUUCUUCCUUCACGCGGCGUUGCUGCAUCAGAGUUUCCUCCAUUGUGCAAUAUCCCCCACUGCUGCCUCCCGUAGGAGUCUGGACCGUGUCUCAGUUCCAGUGUGGCCGAUCAGCCUCUCAGCUCGGCUACCCAUCGCUGACUUGGUGGGCCGUUACCCCGCCAACUAUCUAAUGGGACGCGAACCCCUCCAAUUGCGGAUUGCUCCUUUGACCUCAUCCCGAUGCCGGGUCGUGGUCUUAUGCGGUAUUAGCACUUGUUUCCAGGUGUUAUCCCCCUNAACUGGUCAGGUUGUUCACGCGUUACUCACCCGUUCGCCACUAAGCUAUAUCCGAAAACAUAGCUCCGUUCGACUUGCAUGUGUUAGGCACGCCGCCAGCGUUCGUCCUGAGCCAGAAUCAAACUCUGA
rnacentral:rRNA from 1 species